rnacentral:rRNA from 1 species
UGAAUCCAGGCCCUACGGGGCGCAGCAGGCGCGAAAACUUUACAGUGCGAGCAAUCGUGAUAAGGAAACCCUGAGUGCCUGUCAAUGCAGGCUGUUCUGGUGUCUAACACACACCAGGAGAAAGGGCGGGGCAAGACCGGUGCCAGCCGCCGCGGUAAUACCGGCUGCUCGAGUGGUAGCCGCUUUUACUGGGCUUAAAGCGUUCGUAGCUUGGUCGUUAAGUCUCUGGGGAAAUCUUUUGGCUUAACCAAAAGGCGUCUCAGGGAAACUGGCGAUCUUGGAACCGGGAGAGGUAAGACGUACUUCGGGGGUAGGAGUGAAAUCUUGUAAUCCCCGAGGGACGACCGAUGGCGAAGGCAUCUUACCAGAACGGCUUCGACAGUGAGGGACGAAAGCUGGGGGAGCAAACCGGAUUAGAU